AUGAGUGUCCUAGCUUGGAACUGUCGUGGCGCUGGCAAACCGGCGACAGUUCGAGAGCUUCGCGAUAUGGCGAGGCAGUUUGCCCCCUCGAUCCUCUGCAUCUUAGAAACCCAGAUCGAGGGAUCUCGAGUAGAGAGUUUGUCUAGCACCUUAAAUUUUGAUAAUAGUUUUGCAGUUAGUAGCACUGGUAGGGGUGGUCUUGGAAUUUUUUGGAAUAAUUCAAUAAAGGUAGAAAUUGCUGGUUACUCGGAGUAUCAUAUUGAUGUGCUGGUUGAUGAUCUAGUUGAUACUAGAACACGGGUGACCUUUGUUUAUGGAGAAGCGCAGGUUCCGGAGAGGUACAAAACUUGGGAUAUGCUCCGAGGCAUUGCAAGCAAUAGCAAUCUCCCCUGGGCUGUUAUCGGUGAUUUUAACGAAGUGCUUCACGCACAUGAGCAUGAUGGAGUAGGCCAGUGUAGCCAGGCCCAGAUGGAUGCGUUCCGCGAUGCUCUGGACACAUGCGGGCUGACGGAUAUCGGCUAUACACGCAAGGGAUGGACAUUUGAGAAAAAGGUUACAGGGGGCUCGUUUACUCGAGUCCGGCUAGACAGAUGUGUGGCUAAUACUCACUACAAAAAAAAUACACUUCCGUGA
rnacentral:rRNA from 1 species